AGUGAACGCUGGCGGUAGGCCUAACACAUGCAAGUCGAACGGCAGCACAGUAAGAGCUUGCUCUUACGGGUGGCGAGUGGCGGACGGGUGAGGAAUACAUCGGAAUCUACUUUUUCGUGGGGGAUAACGAAGGGAAACUUACGCUAAUACCGCAUACGACCUACGGGGGAAAGCAGGGGAUCUUUGGACCUUGCGCGAUUGAAGGAGCCGAUGUCGGAUUAGCUAGUUGGCGGGGUAAAGGCCCACCAAGGCGACGAUCCGUAGCUGGUCUGAGAGGAUGAUCAGCCACACUGGAACUGAGACACGGUCCAGACUCCUACGGGAGGCAGCAGUGGGGAAUAUUGGACAAUGGGCGCAAGCCUGAUCCAGCCAUGCCGCGUGGGUGAAGAAGGCCUUCGGGUUGUAAAGCCCUUUUGUUGGGAAAGAAAAGCAGCAGGUUAAUACCCCGCUGUUCUGACGGUACCCAAAGAAUAAGCACCGGCUAACUUCGUG
rnacentral:rRNA from 1 species